rnacentral:rRNA from 1 species
GACGAACGCUGGCGGCGUGCUUAACACAUGCAAGUCGAACGGAAAGGCCCUGCUUUUGUGGGGUUCUCGAGUGGCGAACGGGUGAGUAACACGUGAGUAACCUGCCCUUGACUUUGGGAUAACUUCAGGAAACUGGGGCUAAUACCGGAUAUGAUCUCCUGCUGCAUGGUGUGGGUUGGAAAGUUUCGGCGGUUGGGGAUGGACUCGCGGCUUAUCAGCUUGUUGGUGGGGUAGUUGCUUACCAAGGCUUUGACGGGUAGCCGGCCUGAGAGGGUGACCGGCGACAAUGGGACUGAGAGACGGCCCAGACUGGUACGGGAGGCAGCAGGGGGGAAUAUUGCAGAAUGGGCGGAAGCCUGAUGCAGCAACGCCGCGUGCGGGAUGACGGCCUUCGGGUUGUAAACCGCUUUCGACUGUGAAGAAGAGUGAGUGACGGUAAUGGGUAAAGAAGCACCGGCUAACUACGUG